GCAUCUCUCUGCAGUUGUUUUUAGAGUCGACGAAAAUUAGGAUUGAUAAUAAUGGAUUAUUAAAUAAAACAGGUGGAAAAAAAGGGGGGAGGGGGGAGGUUAAAAAACUUUUUGGGUCGGCACCAAAAAUCUAGGGACGGUCGGGUAACCGGAACCAAACCAUUUUUUUUACUACGCCUAAUGUUUAUAAAUCAUCCACACUUAUCAUCUACACAUGUCACCCAUCUUUAAAGAAAAUAGUAAAUAGUUUUAUAGUAAACAGCGUAAAGUCCUCCCACUUUCUUUGAAAAAAAAACCCGAAACAUUCGGGACAAGAAACUUUAUUUGUUAUUAUAAUUUGUUUUUUUUACACAGCCUUUUUAUUAUUUGUUAAUGUUAUUAUUACUACUUCUACUUGAUUUUUUAAUGAAACGUACAUGUAUAUACAUAAUUUAUUUAGGGUCAAUGCAGUAAGUUUUCUGUGCACAAGGACAGCAGAUGAAGUGAAAAAAAGAUGGCAGGACGCAGUCAGUUGUGAAGAAAAAAGAAUGUUGCAGACUUAAAAAUAGCAACAAGACAGGAGGGGGACCAGCCCCAGACGUCUUCUUCAGGCAAUGGGAAUUAAUAUUGGUGAAUCAGCUUGUGAUCCGAUUGAAGGUUCAGUGGAAGAACACACCAUUUUUGUCAAUGUGAACUCAAGACCAAGGUGUUGAGCAAGACUCACCAGUGAAUAUGACAAGACAAAAUAACUAAAUGUUUCAGACUCACCAGUGAAUAUGACAAGACAAAAUAAGGGAAUGAGCUAUAAGAAAAGUGGUGAGUAAAAUCGUAAAAUCAGGGUUUCUGCCAGAGGGUAAAAUCAGGGUUUCUGCCAGAGGGUAAAACGGGUAUGGCGCCAUACCCAAAUUAUUAUUUUUUUAAGUUAACAUUUUCACAAAAUUAAUUAUUCUUAUCAUUAUUGUAUGAUUUUCUUAACCCUAACCCUAAAUGAAACCCAUUUUCUUUGUUGGGGAGGCCCCCCUGACCCUCUGUUAACUGUGGCUGCAUUCAAUUUCAUAGCGCCAUACCCAAAAAUUUCUUUCUGGUAGAAACACUGAAAAUGGUUGUAUUUCUUGCAGAAAUUGUUUUUCCAUUGACACAUUUAAUUGAAAUCACAAAUUCAAAUUAUUAUGAAAUAUAACCAUUAACCAAUAAACACUGAUAUACAUAUUACAUACAUACAGUAGCAAUAAUUGUAUGAAAUGUCUGAAAUGAGUAAUAGUUGGGAACAAACUACCUCGCAGUGAACAGGUAAAAUUGGGAGCAAACUGGUUUGUGGGUGCAAUGUCCAGUACCCCCAAGACACAUGCAGGCAGAGAAACAAAAACUUGUCCCACCCAAUAUCAUUUGUUGUGGUCAUUAAUUCACCUUUAUUCAUGUCAUAUCUCGUUAAGAAAUGCAUGUCUUAUUUAAUUUCAUAUAAUACUGACGUGUUAUUUGAAAAUUUCAGCAGAAUGGAUCUCAGAAGAGUUUCUAAAUCUGAAACGUAGAAAAGUUGAGAAUGAAGAAGCUUUCCAUCAAGAACUUUGAAAAGUGCAGGCUCUUGAAGGUAUUGCAGGUGUUAUGGAGUCCAUAGAAAACAAUACGUCAUCACCAUACAAUGUGUCUCCAUUUAUAAAAUUUUAAACAUUAAAAAUAUAGAGAAUAUUUUGUUAAAGCUGCAGUGUUUGGAAUAUUUUUUAUUAUUUAAGCAUUUAGAAUAGAUGAUCCAGUUCUGUUUGGUACAUAACAGGUCCACCACAUCGUUAUAUGCUCGGUUAUCUACAUUAUCUAGGUCAACUGCAAACCCAAUGGCCAGCUUGUUGUUCUUCAAUUAUCAGGACGCCAGUUGAAAUGGGAAUUUAUGCGAUUUGCGCAGACGCUGAGCUUCUCACGUGAUUUUGAACAAAUUUAAUUGUCUUGAUUGAGGGGUCGUCUUAUACCUCCAAAAUAUAUUUAUAUCCAUAGAGGUAUGGUACAAUACCUUUCCAGG
rnacentral:lncRNA from 1 species